rnacentral:rRNA from 1 species
GCCAGCAGCCAUAUCACCCUGCAACUGGCAACCCACUGAAGCUAAGCAGGUGUGAGCCUGGUCAGUACCUGGAUGGGAGACCUCCUGGGAAAAACUAAGGUUGCUGCUGGAA